rnacentral:rRNA from 1 species
UACGGACUGUGCAAACGUUAUUCGGAAUCACUGGGCUUAAAGAGUCCGUAGGCGGCUUGUUAGGUGAGGUGUGAAAGCCCUCGGCCCAACCGAGGAAUUGCGCUUCAAACCGGCAAGCUAGAGGAGGAUAGAGGUGGGCGGAACUGAUGGUGGAGCGGUGAAAUGCGUUGAUAUCAUCAGGAACACCGGAGGCGAAGGCGGUCCACUGGGUCCUUUCUGACGCUGAGGGACGAAAGCUAGGGGAGCGAACGGG